rnacentral:rRNA from 1 species
UUGAUAUUCUAGCGGCGGACGGGUGAGUAACGCGUGAGCAAUCUGUCCCAGACAGGGGGAUAACAGAUGGAAACAUCUGCUAAUACCGCAUAAGAUUACAGUACCGCAUGAUACAGUGAUCAAAGGAGCAAUCCGCUGAAAGAUGGGCUCGCGUCCGAUUAGAUAGUUGGUGAGGUAACGGCUCACCAAGUCGACGAUCGGUAGCCGGACUGAGAGGUUGAACGGCCACAUUGGGACUGAGAUACGGCCCAGACUCC